UGAGUACUCCCUCCGUCCAACAAAGGAUGUCUCAACUUUGACUAAAUUUGAAUGCAUUUAUACACUAAGUCAUGUCUAGAUACAUCCAAAUUUUGACAAACUUGAGACAUCUUUUGUUGGAUGGAGGGAGUAAGAA
rnacentral:pre_miRNA from 1 species